UUUUGAAUGGUGAUGAACAACUGUGUUUUGGACUAGAGUUUCUGAUACUAGUGGUAGUUGAAGACCAAACCGUUAACUGUCUGAACUCAAAU
rfam:Zea mays cultivar B73 chromosome 5, whole genome shotgun sequence.